AUAAUUAAAAAAAAUAUAUAAAACAGAAUAAGAAGGAUAAUCAGUCCAGCCUAAAUGGAGAGUUUUGUAAAAAAAAAGGAUUCGAGUGAUUAAUUUAGACCAACAUUAUCUUGUUCUUGCAGGAUUUAGGUUCUGAUAUCUUUAGUGUCAUAGUUGCUUCUUCUUCCCCAUACAUGUUAUAUUGUUGUGCUUUAUUCCUACUUUACUAGACUUGAUCAUCCUUCCCUUAUUAAAUUGUUCAAACUUAAAAAUAUAUGUCUAUAUAUUUUAAAACAUCUGAGCAAUAAAACAAUAUUAACUUAUUAAAUUUCAAAAUAACUACUCUAACUCAUAUAAUCUUAAUAGGGAUUAUGGAACUAAAUCAGAUGCUUCAGUUAUCAGUCCAUUAAUAUUAUUUACACCAUGAAACCCCUCAUCGCUAUAAGUCUUCUUCUUCUUACAAUAUGUAUUCUUGCGGAAUUGGAGCCUCGGAAGCUACUGAAACUCGGCAAAGAGCUAGAAGAGAUGCUGCUCUACCAGAAGAGGCAUGAUGGUAACAAGUUCAUGAAGAUGUUACUGACCUACAAUGACUACUUGGAGGAAGUUUUUAAGAAUGUAGAAGAUGAAACACCUUCAGGGAACAAAUUGUACAAAACGUUAGAGAGAGAACUAGGUCCUCCUCAUCUUAGAUCCAAAGUAUACAAUGUCCUGAUGACACGUAUGUUCAACCUUACGUUUGAACAAGUAGAGGAGGUGGAAGCUAUUAUAGAAAAAACUAGAGAAAUGUGGAAUCAGAUUCAAUAUGUUGUCAACAACCGCACACUGGAGGGCCGAGCAGACAUGGUACAUUUUGUCUGAAUUAUGUAACAAUGCAGUACAAUUAUGUAAGUUUUAUAUAAAUGUGUCGUAAUUUUGAUUUAUUAAACAUUACCAAGAUCAAGCUUAUAUCAAAGAUUCAUAUAUACUGUAUAUGAUGAAAGAAAAUACAAAUUAGUGCUUGAAUAUGUAGUUUACAUGUGCUCAUAUUUGACCUACAAUAUCCAUACUGUAAGAUUAGAAUGCUGUUUUAUUGAUAUAAUUUUAAAAUAGCUCCUUUAACAUAAAAAAGCCGAUGAGACAUACAGUCUAUUGUAUCAUAUUAAAUUAUAAAAUGAAAAAUAUUCAAACUUUUCCAAUUCCAUAGAGUAAAGUGGCACUAUUAAUUAAUGUUAAAGUAAAGCAAAAACCAAGAAAAAUUAUAUUUUAUUCCAAUAUUAAAUUUUUACAGUAGCAUUGCUACUGGAAUUGGUAAGAUUUGGCUAUUUUAUCUUAGGUGUUUCUUUUAUUAAUAACAAAUAGUAAGUCUACUUUCAUGCCCACAGCCUAACAGAACACAUUAUACUACAAUAUUUAAUUGUUUUUAAAUUUAAAUAUUUUUGACAAAAGUAUUUCAAAUCCAGAAAAUGCAAAAGUCCAUCAAGGAUAUUAAACAGUCUCAGCCCUAUGUUAAGUUUCAUGAUGAUGUUUACACUUCUGUAGAGUAGCAUGGAUGUCUGGGGCUAACAUUUUUAUUGAAUUCAAUAGUGAUUGGAAAGUAAUAAGUGUUUUUGUCCUCCUGCAAUUAGAUCUUCAUGUUACUUAUCAGUAUUACCAAUCAUGUUAGUAUUGAUUAAUGGUAAGCGAUUUUUGUGUGUGAAAUUUUGUGAAAAUGCAACAAUGAUGUUUAAAAUGUUUUAAUAGACUAGGAACCGUGCAUGUUAUGUACAAAAGGACUUCAGUCACACAUAAAGCUUCAAAACAAAAGUUCACGGUUAUGAGCUUUUCAGAUUCAAGUGGUAUUGUGCACAGGGAUUUGACACUUCCAUUAAAAACAAUAAAUCAACAUUAUUAAUCAGAAAUAUUAGGAAAACUGUGUAAAAGAGUUAAGCGUGUUCAACAGAACAUCCACCAUUAGAUUGUGGAUUAUGAUAAAGUGCCAUAUUGUAUUAUGAUUUUUAUGCUCAAGCUUAUAAAAAAAAUCUUCUCAGUUAUGCUGUGGCCCACUUGCCAUAAUUUAACUGUUUCAUUUUCAAAACUAAAAUAAGUUUUCCAAAGACAUCAUUAUAGAAACAACCAACAAUGGUCAAGCCACUUUGACAUAGACCUUAAAUGCCAUAAAAAAUGAAGAGUUUCUGUAUUAACACUUUAACUGCCACAUUAACACAAUUGGUUCAACACAGUUUUUAUAGUUAGAGCAAGUAUGUGCAAUAACCAUAUGACAUUGACACGUUUUUUCCUUAUAGCAUCAUCAAAGCGCAUUCUAACGGUGUUCUGCAGCCAUAUUUCGACAUUAGACAUUUUAAGAUUUUACACAGACCAAUAUUAGUACUGUUUACGGUUAUGUUUAGGCUUACAUGUUGUCAUUGAAAAGUGUCAAUUUUGGGUGGGCACUUUUCUGAGUAGAUUCUAUUUUGAGCAAUACAAAAACUUGUUUUAAAUUAUUAAUGUAACAAUGUCUAAUAUAGCUUUAUUAUACUUAAUUGUUUAUAGGUAUGUUAGCACAUUCUGGCAUAUUUCAUGUUAAUAAAACAAAAUAAAGGAUGAAAACUAAACUGAAAAAGAAAAAUCAGUGUUUUACAAUGCAGUAACACUGUAUUAAAAUACUCUUUACUGAAUACAUGAGUAAAAUUAAGAUAAAUUUAAGAUAAAAUUACGUUACAAAUUUAAGUAAAGUAACACUACUCAAAUAUGGCGUUCCAGAGAAAUUAUCAUAAAAAAUUAGCACUUUCUUGAGGUUUUUGGUUUUUUGACAACCAUUAUUGGCUACUAAUUGUUUUUAGCAUAAUUUACAGUUCUCUUACCCUACGUCUGUUUUCCCUUCACCUAUGUAACCCUCUGAUUCAGCUAGCUAGUGUGGCGUAACACUUUUGCAGGCUCUAGGUUGUUUGCCUCAGAUGUUCAAAAAAGCUCAAUAAAGUUUUUUGGAAUGAUAUGAUGGAGUAAAGUUUCCUUGUGGUUCUUCCUGUGCUAUCAUCGUUUACUACUCACGUACCCAGAAGUAUUUCCUCUGCUGCUUUGUGGAACCAUUGAUACAGAGUUUGGCCCAAUUAUAAUCGUGUCCCACUGGAGGAUUGAGAAUGGGUCACAUUUUUUUGUAGAUAUCUGCAAAUCCUACAGGGUGUUUAGUUGACAUCUUUUUAACUAUCCUCUUGUUCAUCUAAUUACUGUACAUGUUACCAUUUUCAUACUCUAAGCAGAUAAUUUCAUCUCUUUUCAGCUUCCCUUUUUAAAUUUAGCAUUUUUGAUGAGGAAACCAGGCACUAAUGGUUGUAACUGUCCGAGCAAGAUGGGUUUCUCUUUCUAAGAAAACAACGUUGGCAAGAUCUACGAAGGUGUAAAACUUUUCUGUAAACAGAGUGUACCAAGAGAGGAUGCAAAGAUUCCCUGUAUGAUUGCCAACCUUGGUAGCAGUAAAGAGCAUGUAAAAUGGAAUACAAUACACCAUGGUUCGAUCAGGUCGUCUCCUUUAUUUUCUAGAAGAAGAAUAAGGAAGGAAAAAGUGCUGAUCCGAUCGGCCCAAAAUUACCCCAAUCUUGCUUCCAAUUACCAAUUUGAAAAAAUAUUGUAAACUACCCAAAAUAUCAAUAUAAAAUCAAUAUCAGCAAUGAAAAAUUUAGUUCAGCAAUACAGAAUAUCUUGGGAACGUAUAUGGUGGCAGUUAGUAUCUUAAUACAACAAAUAGAAAAAGUAUGAGAAAUGGUGUUUUAGAUCUAAGAGUGCUAAUCUUAGUGAAAUAGAUCACUUCAAUAUUCCAUAAAAUGGUAAAUAAAAAGUUGUCUUUAGCUAGUUACUGUACAGUAUAGUCAGGACUUACAUGUAUUGAACUUCCUAGCUUAUUUUAUUAAGAACAAAAUAAUGUAAUUAAUCUCUACAGCACUUUGAGUUGUGUUCAUUCAAAAAGAAGAUAAAAAAAAAUUGAUCACAAACUGUGUAUCUUAGACAGUCAGGUACCAUACUACAUUUUCUUUAACUCUGCAUUCUAAAAUAAUAAUAUCAUAAUUUAUCUCAAUUUGUAGAUAAAAUAUUACUCUCUGCACCAGUGUUGUAUCCAUAACAAUAUCAUUUAUUAUCUAAUUUCUUUAUGUACUAUCUAUUAUUGAAUCAGAGGAAUUUCAAAGUAAAUUUCGUAACGCUGUGAGGAAAGUAAAGCAAGACAGAAAUUAAUGUAUAUUACAAUAAAUUAAUCAGAUUUUUUAAUGCCUUUUAAGGCUUUUGCUAUAUAGCUGUGGCAUAUUAAAACAACACUUAAUCUUUACUUGCCUGAAUGAAACUAAUGAUAGUGUAAUAAAAGUUUCCAGCCUGCUGACCCUUGAUUUAUGUGUUAAAAUAUUUUCUUCAUCAAAACAGCCUUGCUGUUCUAUGCCAGUAAUGUUCAUGAUGUAAACAUAGUUUUGAAAAUAUUAUGCAUUUGAUCGUUGUGUCUUGGAUAACAUAAAAAUACUCAAAAUCGUUUUCAGGAUGUUUCAGCAUUAAUACUCUGCAAGUGAUGACGUAAUAAAUUUGAUGGAUCUUUCCAUGAAACUGAAGAAACUAAUAAAGAAACCGGAAGGCACAACUCCUUACAUUCUUGAAAAUCUCGAGUGUUUCCUUGACGGGUUCAGGUCGUACAGUGACAAAGUAUUUGCAAACGACUCGGAGGCGAUAUCAGACUACGAUCUGAUGGAGCAAGAGGAGGGGCCACACCAUUUGAAGCUGUUCCCUAUAGAAAUGAUGCCAUUAUUGAACUAUUACGACUGGGAUAGCUAUGACUGUUGGCUGUUCGGCGGCUACCUGGAAAAAACCAAACAGAUUUGGUAUAGGCUCUCAGAAUACAUGGAGGCGAGGAAACGGACACUGAUGAUUCAGAAAAGAAGGGAAAGAAAAAUGCAUUUGGACCAAGAAAAUACCAAAUAGAGCUUAAUUAAUAAAAGGUUUGGAUGUUGACUGAUUUGUAUGGUGUGUAAAUAGUCUUUUCACAAUGUAAUUUAGAAAAUUAGAAACAUACUAUAUACCUAAUAAAUUAUUGAAUGUUUCA